rnacentral:rRNA from 1 species
GACGAGGGAUCCUAGCGUUGUUCGGAAUCAUUGGGCGUAAAGCGGGUGUAGGUGGUCUGAUAAGUCAGAUGUGAAAGCCCAGGGCUUAACCCUGGAAGUGCAUAUGAUACUGUCAGGCUUGAGUGUGGGAGAGGAUAGCAGAAUUCCUGGUGUAGUGGUGAAAUACGUAGAUAUCAGGAGGAAUACCGGAGGCGAAGGCGGCUAUCUGGCCCAACACUGACACUGAGACCCGAAAGCGUGGGGAUCAAACAGG